AUUGAACGCUGGCGGCAGGCCUAACACAUGCAAGUCGAGCGGAUGAAGGUAGCUUGCUCCUGGAUUCAGCGGCGGACGGGUGAGUAAUGCCUAGGAAUCUGCCUGGUAGUGGGGGAUAACGUCCGGAAACGGGCGCUAAUACCGCAUACGUCCUGAGGGAGAAAGUGGGGGAUCUUCGGACCUCACGCUAUCAGAUGAGCCUAGGUCGGAUUAGCUAGUUGGUGGGGUAAAGGCCUACCAAGGCGACGAUCCGUAACUGGUCUGAGAGGAUGAUCAGUCACACUGGAACUGAGACACGGUCCAGACUCCUACGGGAGGCAGCAGUGGGGAAUAUUGGACAAUGGGCGAAAGCCUGAUCCAGACAUGCCGCGUGUGUGAAGAAGGUCUUCGGAUUGUAAAGCACUUUAAGUUGGGAGGAAGGGCAGUAAGUUAAUACCUUGCUGUUUUGACGUUACCAACAGAAUAAGCACCGGCUAACUUCGUG
rnacentral:rRNA from 1 species